rnacentral:lncRNA from 1 species
CUCCUAUCUCCUUUCUAUUUCUCUUCUUCCUAUUCUUCUAUCGCUUUCUGUUUUCUGUUUCUGUAUCGUUCUGUGUUAGGGUUCCACCUAACAAUUGGUACAAGAGCUGUUUGAGGGUGGGCAUAGACUGCCAAUUGCUUUCGGAGGUCACAAGGAUGGCUCGACCAGUGGUGGUAGGUCCAGAAGCUGUUAAACUGGCAGAACUGGAAGAUCAAGUGAGAAGCCUCACGAGACUCGGAAGCACGUGGAAAUGCUAAGAGUGGAUCUUAAAGACUUGCGGGAGGAAGUGAAGAGGAGUAUUGUGGAAUCAAGGCAAUCUAUCAUGGAAGAAUUGACUGCUGUUAUGGCUAAAAUGUUAGGCACUCGAGUUAAGGAUAUUAAUUCUGUUGAGAAAGAAUCAGUGGGGAUGGGGAAAAUAACAAUCUUGGAAGUAAAGAUCCCAUGGGAAUCAUGGGAAGAGGACAUCAUUACCAGUCCUGAAAGAGUCUGAGAAUGGCCAGAAUGGGAUUCUAGCAGCUCAAGAAAAUGUUGCCCGAGAUUGAGUUGAUACUUGAUAACCUUUGAAGGGGGUGAUCCGAGGGUAUGGCUGAGGAAGUGUAGCAAGUACUUUGAAGUUUAUGAGGUGCCUAAGGAUAAAAGAGUAAGCAUAGCGAGCCUCUACUUGAUGGGCAAGGCUGACUCUUGGUACAAUAAUUGGGGUAGAGAGAGAAUUACCCAAUUGUUGAAAGAAUUUGAGGCUGAUUCUCUAUAGGAGGUUUGGAGAGCAAGGAUUAGAAGAUGUUGUGGAGGAGUUUUUGAAGAUGAGGCAAGAAGGGAUUGUGGAGGAUUACCAAGAUAAAUUUGAAGAUAUAAGGGUGAGAAUGGAAAGAUUUGUACCUGUCUUGGAUGAAUACUACUUCCUGUCAGGGUUUAUUGGAGGGCUUCGAGAUGAAAUUAGGCCUAUGGUAAGAAUGUUGAGGCCCACUAAUCUUGCCCAUGCCUUUGAAAUUGCAAGGCUGCAGGAGCCAUUACUGCAAAGCUAUGGAAAUCCUACCUUAGCCCCUAAGCCUACAUUCGCCUUCUACAAACCAGCGCUGAACUCUAAUACCAGUAACUCCCAAUCCUUGACAUAUAAAACUUCUCAGUUACAUCAGAAUUUCCCUUAUUCCACCAAGCCACCAAAUGAGAGCACAACCACAAGAAGUGCCUCCAAUGUCCCUACUAAACCUGACUCCACAACCAGCACCAGUUCAGUAAACCAAGCUCCCACUAAGACGGACGCUGCAAACCCUGUAAACACUACCAAACCAGCAAGACUUUGCCAUAGAUGUAAGAGAUAAAUUUUUCCUGGGCACUAGUGCAAGGCCAAGACAGCCAUGGCAUUGUAGAUGGAGAAGCAGGGUAAGGAAGGGAGUGAGAAGUGUAUGGAGGAAAAGUCCAAUUACCAGAAAACACUUCCCAUGAAUCUUUUGUUUCAUGUAUCUCUACUCAAGAAGAAAUUGGGGGACAGUGUAAUUCCUCAAACACAGCUGCCUAGUAUGGUGGAGGAAGAAUUGUUGGUGGCUCCUGCUGCUAUACUCAAGACAAUGACUGUUGAAAGAGAUGGCCAAUCUGUUAUUCGACGUCUGGUUCAAUGGACCAACCUGACUACUGAAGAAGCUACUUGGAAAGACAGGGCCUUCAACCAAGCUCAAUUCCCUUAUUUUCAGCAUCCUUGGGGACAAACAUGCUCUUAUGGAGGGGGUAUUGUCACGUAUAA